AGGGCGGGCGUCGACACUGCGUAUGAAAAUCGUUGACGUCGUGAUUGGAGUGAGCAGCCUCCUCGACAUCGCUAGCCCGCUCGGGAGCGUCACCCUGUUAAUAUAAUAUAAUGUAACUCAUUAGUCCAUAUGAUACAAUUAAAGAAAUAACUAAAUGAAAAUUAAAUAACAUGCACAAUACUUGAAUUUAAAAUGAAUAGUAUACCUUAGCUGUUAAGGGCUAACUCAACAUCGCCCCAAAAGCGUCCAUGAUUAAAGUAACCACCAUCCGAACCAUCUCGUCGUGUAUUGCGGCGAACUGCUCCGGAAGGAUACCCGUACUCUCGGCAGUGGCACCAUCUGCAAUGUCUUGAGCAAGUUGAUGGAGGCAAGCACGGCUGGGCAGGUGAUGACGGAAUAAUGGAUCUGUACCAAAUCUGUCCGACACCGCCGCCAUAACCCUCUGGAACAUAACGUUGUCUAAGUCAGCACCCAUAUGUGAUGGUCUCACGGGUGCUCUUAGACACAGACGUUGGCUAAAACCUACAAAAAUAAAUAUAACAUGAAUAAUAUUAUAUUUCACUUUAUUCAUAAACGAGAAAUAUACUAAAAUAUUAUACCUCAAUGUAGAGUAUAAGUUGGUAUCCUCGGCAACCCCAUCACUCGAUACCGAUCGAUAGUACUACUAAGAGGAUCUUGAGACGCGAUCCAAAGAGUCAUCUCACAUUUAAAAAUAAAAGAUUUACUUGCUUAUAAAAUAAAGAGACGAUAUUUCAUUUUUGUUUAUACAUUUUGAACAGAAGAUUUGGUCUUAAUUAAAUUUAAGAUUAAGAUAUUUACAAUGUGCAUCAGAAUGAUAUCGUAGAUGGAGGGAGGGUCAACUUUAACUUCUAUUAUAUGUGUGAGUGGGAGUAUUUCUUGAUUGUACAAAUUAUAAAAAUGCUAGUUACUAGGCAUGUUGUCCCAUAUUCUCCGAUGAGUCCAGUGGUUGCGUUGUUUCUUGGGGUCCAGACCAACAAUGGGGUUAGUGAGAGAUAUAUUUUGUUGGUUAUGAUUUUGUAGGUAGUGCAUGAUAUUUUUGGUGAAGGCUUAGGAGCCAUAGGCAAAAUCCAAAGUAUCAAUAGAUAGAUAAAGAGGUAAAAAAGAAGGAAUGAAAGAGAAAAGGAAAGGAAAAGGGUGGGUUUGUGGAGGGAAAAGAAAUUGGGAUUCUCUAUAUUUUGUGAAUAAAAAGGAAUUGGACGGGAUUGGAAGAGAAUUUGGGUAUGCUUUUUUCAUCUAAGAGCUCGUUCGGCAACGACUUAAAUUAAAGUAUAAGUUGACUUCUAUAUUAUUUUAAGUUGGGACUUAUAAAUAAAUGCGUAUUAAUUUGACUUAUAA
rnacentral:lncRNA from 1 species